GACCAGAGCUUGUGGGCUGUACCCAGCCUGCGGCUGGCACUGCAGGCAGCCAGGGUGGCUGCAGAGCAUCUCUAAGUGAUUCAGGUCACUUCUGAUCCAGGACAGGGAGCCUCAGCCUGCCAGCUUUUGGGAACCUGAAAGAUGCCUCAAGUUCACAGCGCAGAGGAUAUCCUGCCUGAAGCUACUGGUAUUGCAGGGAUUGUCUCAUCUCCCUAUUCCCAGUGUGCCUGUUAUACAGUUGAAAAGGCUCCUGGAGAUGUGCAUGUUUCUUUUUCAAGAUAA
rnacentral:lncRNA from 1 species